rnacentral:lncRNA from 1 species
UGUGAAGUGGGCCUAAUAGGAGCUGUAUGAGUGAUCGCAUCUUUUGGUCCGUGGGCUCUGGGAUGGAUCUUCAUCCCUAAAAUAAGACUCGAUCGUUGUUUAUUUUUCAGUGCUUUCCGAAUUAUCUUUAUUGUACUUCCACAAUGCUUUAAGAAAAUAAGAAAUACUUUGAUCAUUUAAUAAAGUUAUUAAUAAUUGAUAAACUAAUAGAUAAUUAAUAUUCGGUAAAUUAAUAGAUUUUUCUUG